GACGAACGCUGGCGGCGUGCUUAACACAUGCAAGUCGAGCGGAGCGGCGAACGGGCGAGUAACGCGUGAGUAACUGCCCCCCUCCCUGGGAUUACAGUUGGAAACGGCUGCUAAUACCGGAUAGUGGGGGAUGACUCGCGUCCUAUCAGCUUGUUGGUGGGGUAGUGGCCUACCAAGGCGACGACGGGUAGCCGACCUGAGAGGGUGACCGGCCACAUGGGGCGGAGGUAAGGCCCAGACUCCUACGGGAGGGAGCAGAGGGGGAUAUUGCACAAUGGGCGAAAGAGUGAUGCAGCGACGCCGCGUGGGGGAUGAAGGCUUUCGGGUUGUAAACCUCUUUCGCUAUCGAAAGGGUAGGUGGAGAAGAAGCGCCGGCUAACUACGUGACAGCAGCCGCGGUAAUUC
rnacentral:rRNA from 1 species